GGAAACUAUUGUUGUCGUCAUCGAGCAAAAGUGACGUCCAAAAUAUGAGACACUAACUCUCUGUUUGGAGGGGAAGGGAGAAGGAAAGAACUCUGAUUGGGCCGUAGUGUAGGCUCUCAAGAGACAAGACACAUGAUCCAGCUAGGUGAGGUAGCUCCACUGUCAGCUCAGCUGUGUCUGUCUCAUCUAACACAUCCUCAACAGAGGGGGACAGGAAUAAGAGGACGACCAAACGGAGAGACAAAGAGAAAAAAAUCAGUAAAAA